AACGCGAAGAACCUUACCUGGACUCGAAAUGUUGUGGACCGGGGUAGAAAUAUCCCUUCCCCGCAAGGGGCUGCAAUAUAGGUGCUGCAUGGCUGUCGUCAGCUCGUGUCGUGAGAUGUUGGGUUAAGUCCCGCAACGAGCGCAACCCUUAUCUCCAGUUGCUACCAUUUAGUUGAGCACUCUGGCGAAACCGCCUCGGAUAACGGGGAGGAAGGUGGGGAUGACGUCAAGUCCUCAUGGCCUUUAUGCCCAGGGCUACACACGUGCUACAAUGGCCGGUACAAACCGUUGCAAACCCGCGAGGGGGAGCUAAUCGGAAAAAGCCGGCCUCAGUUCGGAUCGCAGUCUGCAACUCGACUGCGUGAAGCUGGAAUCGCUAGUAAUCGCGGAUCAGAACGCCGCGGUGAAUACGUUCCCGGGCCUUGUA
rnacentral:rRNA from 1 species